UACAGAGGUCCCAAGCGUUGUUCGGAUUCACUGGGCGUAAAGGGUGCGUAGGCGGUCGGGUAAGUCUGAUGUGAAAUCUCACAGCUUAACUGUGAAACUGCAUUGGAUACUAUCCGGCUCGAGGAAUGGAGGGGAGACUGGAAUACUUGGUGUAGCAGUGAAAUGCGUAGAGAUCCGGAAGAACACCGGUGGCGAAGGCGGUCUGCUGGGCAGUUGCUGACACUGAGGCGCGACAGCGUGGGGAGCAAACAGG
rnacentral:rRNA from 1 species